rnacentral:rRNA from 1 species
UGGGGAAUAUUGCACAAUGGGGGAAACCCUGAUGCAGCGACGCCGCGUGAAGGAAGAAGUAUUUCGGUAUGUAAACUUCUAUCAGCAGGGAAGAAAAUGACGGUACCUGACUAAGAAGCCCCGGCUAACUACGUGCCAGCAGCCGCGGUAAUACGUAGGGGGCAAGCGUUAUCCGGAUUUACUGGGUGUAAAGGGAGCGUAGGCGGUGAUGCAAGUCAGAAGUGAAAGCCCGCAGCUCAACUGCGGGACUGCUUUUGAAACUGUAUGACUAGAUUGCAGGAGAGGUAAGUGGAAUUCCUAGUGUAGCGGUGAAAUGCGUAGAUAUUAGGAGGAACACCAGUGGCGAAGGCGGCUUACUGGACUGUAAAUGACGCUGAGGCUCGAAAGCGUGGGGAGCAAA